rnacentral:rRNA from 1 species
CGAGUUUGAUCCUGGCUCAGAAUGAACGUUGGCGGCGUGAUUAGGCAUGCAAGUCGAGCGUACCCAGCAAGUGGGGAAGCGGACGAAACGGGGUAGUAAGGCGUCGGUACGUGCCCUCGGGACGAGGAUAGCCACGGGAAACUGUGGGUAAUACUCGAUGAUCUCGUGAGAGCAAAGGUGUGAUUCCGCCAGGGGAGCGGCCGACGUGGUAUUAGGUAGUUGGUGGGGUAAUGGCCCACCAAGCCUGGGAUGCCUAGGGGGUGUGAGAGCAUGGCCCCCACCAUUGGGACUGAGAUACUGCCCAGACACCUACGGGUGGCUGCAGUCGAGAAUCUUCGGCAAUGGGCGCAAGCCUGACCGAGCGACGCCGCGUGCGGGAUGAAGGCCUUCGGGUUGUAAACCGCUGUCAGAGGGGAUGAAAUCACAGUGGGUUCUCCCAUUGUGUUGACAGAGCCUCAGAGGAAGCGCGGGCUAAGUUCGUG